rnacentral:rRNA from 1 species
GAUAAACGCUGGCGGCGCACAUAAGACAUGCAAGUCGAACGGAAGUCGUCAUAAUGAGUCUGAAACAGAUUUGACGAUUUAUCUGAUAUGAAGUAGAUGAUGAUUUAUGACAAUGGCUUUAGUGGCGGACUGGUGAGUAACACGUAAGCAACCUGCCUAUUAGAGGGGAAUAACAGUGAGAAAUCAUUGCUAAUACCGCAUAAGCUAGUAGUAUCGCAUGAUACAGCUAAGAAAAGGAGUAAUCCGCUAAUAGAUGGGCUUGCGUCUGAUUAGCUAGUUGGUGGGGUAACGGCCUACCAAGGCGACGAUCAGUAGCCGAACUGAGAGGUUGAACGGCCACAUUGGGACUGAGAUACGGCCCAGACUCC